AAAUGGAGUUGGUUGAGUGGAGUGAUUUACCAGCUGUAUAUGAACACACAUGUGGCCUCCAGGGCGUUGGAGCUCAGAGUAUAAAUGCUUUCAACAACAUAGAAACCUGAACAAUUGUGAAAUGACAUGGGGAAAGAAAUUGAAUUGAACAUUUUGGAGACUGGGACAGUCUGGCAUUGUGCAUAUGCAAGGAAGCAGAGCUGAACCACCUUGUUCCAUGAAAAGGAAUUUAAACUUAAUGUGUUUAUUUUUAGACCAAAUUUUUCACCGACCUUACAGAUUCCCCUCCUCCUAUUUGAUGCAGUGUUGUCUUGGAAAUACAUGAAUACAUCUUACUGAAAAUUGUACAAGAUUCACUAGGGACGGGGGAGAGUGAACUAGGUUGAUAAGCUGUUGCUUGAGAAUUUAGAAGCAAUAUUAAAAACAUGAAAAUAAAUUCAAAGUACUGGAGAUGGAUGCUGCAACUGUUACCAGUAUUAAAACUUUGUGGGCAUCUAAUACACAACAAAUUCAUGUCAGAAUGUGUAGAAAAGAAGUUAUUUGGUUUAUAUGAACUGCACAACCUGAAAAGGGAUGUAAAAGCAACAAUGACUAAAUAAAUGUAGAGAAUAAUACGUUAAAAUCUAUUAAAUGUUAGUAAGACAUAAGAUAUGUUAAUAAAUGCAGACCCAUUUUUAUCUGAAUGGUUUCUGACAUUGUGCACUCAGUUUGUUUCUAGUAUAGAUCUAGAGGUUUACUUUAAAGCAUUUGAGGCCAAGAGUAACAUGACUAGCUGUAAAUCUGGUAUUUGGGCUAGAGCAAGUUUUGCUGUAACACUUCAUCUCCCAUUUGUGUUUGUGGACUGAUCUAUAUCUGCUCUAGCACUCUUUAAAGAGUUAUUUGUGUUCCUUUUCUUGUCUUUCCUUUUCUCUUCAAAUUUUGUAUCUCUUCUUUGAAGAACUAUUUAAUUUCAGUAGGAGCUCUGAGAUGACGGGCUGCAUAAUGCUCCAUACAUAUGUCUUGUUACUGAUAGAAGCAAUUGACUAGUAAAUCUUUUUGUAAUUUUCUUAUUUGUUUUAUCAGGUACCUGUCUAAAAGAUCUGUUGUUUUAAGGAUCUAUUUGUAUGUUGCAAAUGAAUACUCAGAAAUGAAACACACUGCUUAUAUUCAAAGCUAUCAGUCCUUUAAUACAUGUUUGUAUACGUUCUAAGCCUCACUUCUAGGACUGUUGUUAUUAAGUAAAAGGUUGAGAACUUAUAUCUUUUAUAAAAGUAUAUAUGUUUUUUAUGUUGUAAAGGAGAGCCUAAGGAAAGCUUAGAGGUAUCUCCAGUAGACAUUUCGUUCUUUGUAUGACAUUUUAAAUUAAAACAA
ensembl:lncRNA